rnacentral:rRNA from 1 species
AACGGACGCCGGCGGCAGGCUUAACACAUGCAAGUCGAGCGCGUAGCAAUACGAGCGGCAGACGGGUGAGUAACGCGUGGGAAUCUACCGUACCCUACGGAAUAGCUCCGGGAAACUGGAAGUAAUACCGUAUACGCCCUUAGGGGGAAAGAUUUAUCGGGGUAUGAUGAGCCCGCGUUGGAUUAGCGAGUUGGUGGGGUAAAGGCCUACCAAGGCGACGAUCCAUAGCUGGUCUGAGAGGAUGAUCAGCCACAUUGGGACUGAGACACGGCCCAAACUCCUACGGGAGGCAGCAGUGGGGAAUAUUGGACAAUGGGGGCAACCCUGAUCCAGCCAUGCCGCGUGAGUGAUGAAGGUCUUAGGGUUGUAAAGCUCUUUCACCGAUGAAGAUAAUGACGGUAGUCGGAGAAGAAGCCCCGGCAAACUUCGUGCCAGCCGCCGCAGUAAGAC